CCUACGGGAGGCUGCAGUGGGGGAUAUUGCACAAUGGGGGGAACCCUGAUGCAGCGACGCCGCGUGGGUGAAGAAGCGCCUCGGCGCGUAAAGCCCUGUCAGCAGGGAAGAAAAUGACGGUAACUGAAGAAGAAGCCCAGGCUAACUACGUGCCAGCAGCCGCGGUAAUACGUAGGGGGCAAGCGUUAUACGGAUUUACUGGGUGUAAAGGGGGCGCAGACGGCGAUGCAAGCCAGGAGUGAAAGCCCGGGGCCCAACCCCGGGACUGCUCUUGGAACUGCGUGGCUGGAGGGCAGGAGGGGCAGGCGGAAUUCCUGGUGUAGCGGUGAAAUGCGUAGAUAUCAGGAGGAACACCGGUGGCGAAGGCGGCCUGCUGGACUGCAACUGACGUUGAGGCCCGAAAGCGUGGGGAGCAAACAGGAUUAGAUACCCCAGUAGUC
rnacentral:rRNA from 1 species